CGAGGCGAGUGAGGGAGUCCGACCGGAGUAGCCGACCACAGCGAGACGCGAAGGCAUCCGCUGAGGCCGACGUCGACGGUAGGGCUGAGAGGCCGAAAGGCAGCAGUCGGGCCGGACGGCGACCCCCAAUACCUGAUCCGGGCAAUACCGGCGAAGGGAACCCGUCUCGUAGGUUC
rnacentral:ncRNA from 19 species